rnacentral:ncRNA from 18 species
UUGACGGAAGGGCACCACCAGGAGUGGA